AGUUUUGCACAGUGGCAGUAUCGUAGCCAAUGAGGUUUAUCUGAGGCGCGAUUAUUGCUAAUUGAAAACUUUUCCCAAUACCCCGCCAUGACGACUGAAAUAGUCAGCAUUGGCAAUUUUUGACAGUCUCUACAGAGU
rnacentral:snRNA from 1 species